rnacentral:rRNA from 1 species
AGCGAACGCUGGCGGCAGGCCUAACACAUGCAAGUCGAACGAACCCUUCGGGGUUAGUGGCGGACGGGUGAGUAACACGUGGGAACGUGCCUUUAGGUUCGGAAUAACUCAGGGAAACCUGUGCUAAUACCGAAUGUGCCCUUCGGGGGAAAGUUUUAUCGCCUUUAGAGCGGCCCUCGUCUGAUUAGCUAGUUGGUGAGGUAAUGGCUCACCAAGGCUACGAUCAGUAGCUGGUCUGAGAGGAUGACCCCCCACAUUGGGACUGAGACACGGCCCAAACUCCUACGGGAGGCAGCAGUGGGGAAUCUUGCACAAUGGGCGAAAGCCUGACGCAGCCAUGCCGCGUGGAUGAUGAAGGUCUUAGGAUUGUAAAAUCCUUUCACCGGUGAAGAUAAUGACUGUAGCCGGAGAAGAAGCCCCGGCUAACUUCGUGCCAGCCGCCGCCGUAACAC